UUUAAAUAUUUUUUAAUUUUUUUGGAUCCUUUCAGUGCGACUUUAAUAUCACUACUGCCUUCAAUGUGCACAGAACUUUUUAAAUCUACUGUUUCCACCAUUGGGGAGAACCCUAUGCUAUCAUCAACUAAAUCUACAUCAAAAUCAUUAAUUUCAGCAAAAAUACUUAAAUUAUUAUCUGGCUGUCCGGAGUGGCCGGAACAAUACUUGCAACUAUGUUUUGAUUCUGACUCCUCCAGCUGCUGUUCUAAGUCCUGGAUGCGUUGUAAUGCCUGCUCAUGUAUCUCCUGACAAUUCUUGAACUGAUCAACGGCAGUUUGAAGUUCAUCCCGCUGACCCUGCAUGUCUUCGAACUCAACGUCCUGGUUAGCGAGCUGAGCCUUGAGGGUUGUGUUUGUUCUAAUAACUUGCUCAAAUUGCUCUGCACUCUCUUCCUGUUCUUGAAGGAGUCUUUUGUUCAAUUCAUCGGCUGUUUUCAAUUCUUUCUGUAAUUGCUGCAUUUUAGCAACCAGGACAUCCCUGCGUGUAGUCAUCUUAGUAGUUUGUGCUGUAAACAUAUUCAUAGUGUAUGAGAUCUGAGCAAAAAAGAUGAAUGAAUUUCAAUGCUUCUAACAGAAUAAAGUGAUUUAAAAAAUGUUAACAUGAAUACACUGACUUGAUUUAUAAGUGUUAAGCUUCUUAGAUUUUAUAAAAUAAACUUUAUAAUUCACUGUUUUGUAAGUUAACUGCUUACCGCAGGGUAUGAUUUUAUUGUUCUUGAGGUGAUUGAAAAUGAAUUAAGAUAUUUAAAUAGGUUAAAAUCCUGUUAUGUUUUAAACAAAGUUCUCCUCAAAACGUAUAAAGGUAGCAAAA